UCCGGUUUGUCACCGGCAGUCUCAUUAGAGUGCUCUUGCGUAGCAACUAAUGACAAGGGUUGCGCUCGUUGCGGGACUUAACCCAACAUCUCACGACACGAGCUGACGACAGCCAUGCAGCACCUGUGUCCUGGCUCCCUUUCGGGCACUCCCACAUCUCUGCAGGAUUCCAAGCAUGUCAAGGGUAGGUAAGGUUUUUCGCGUUGCAUCGAAUUAAUCCACAUCAUCCACCGCUUGUGCGGGUCCCCGUCAAUUCCUUUGAGUUUUAAUCUUGCGACCGUACUCCCCAGGCGGUCUACUUCACGCGUUAGCUUCGUUACCAAGAGGUAACCCUCCCGACAACUAGUAGACAUCGUUUAGGGCGUGGACUAC
rnacentral:misc_RNA from 1 species